rnacentral:lncRNA from 1 species
GGACCCAGACAGCCACCCCUUAGCAGCGGCAGCGAUCCCUCGGCCAGGCCCCGGCAGCAGAAGGGAGGCAGCUGUGCUGCAAACUACUGGAGUCCGGACAUGCAGGACCGCAGGCUGCAGGCUCCCAUUUGGCAGAAAGGACUUUUGCUGAAAUCCCCAGCGGGGCACUCGACCCCUCUAGUGGGUUGUGCCAUGCACUCCAUUGUCGCCGCCCCCGACCGGCCCCUGGCACCGUGUCCCUCCUACCUGAGCAGGCUCUGACUCCAGCCCUGGACACAGCUGGGGUGGCCACGGUGACUGCUGAGAAGAGGGGCUGUCCACACAGCCUGGUGGCUUGGAGCCCCGGGACCCCCACACCUGGGUCAGGGUGGGGCCGGAUGAGGUCUGAGUAAGGGAGUUGGGUGCCAGGGAAGGGCAGGGCCUGGGGUGGGAGGGGAGGAGGGGAGAGGAGGAGAAGGGCCUCCAGGGGUGGCCCAG